UACGUAGGGUGCAGGCGUUAAUCGGAAUUACUGGGCGUAAAGCGUGCGCAGGCGGUUUCUUAAGUCAGAUGUGAAAGCCCCGGGCUUAGCCUGGGAACUGCGUUUGAAACUGGGAGACUUGAGUGUGGCAGAGGGGGGUGGAAUUCCACGUGUAGCAGUGAAAUGCGUAGAUAUGUGGAGGAACACCGAUGGCGAAGGCAGCCCCCUGGGUUAACACUGACGCUCAUGCACGAAAGCGUGGGGAGCAAACAGG
rnacentral:rRNA from 1 species